rnacentral:rRNA from 1 species
AUUGAACGCUGGCGGCAGGCCUAACACAUGCAAGUCGAACGAGUGGCGGACGGGUGAGUAAUGUAUGGGAAACUGCCUGAUGGAGGGGGAUAACUACUGGAAACGGUGGCUAAUACCGCAUACUAUCGGAUGAGCCCAGAUGGGAUUAGCUGGUCGGUGGGGUAACGGCUCACCUAGGCGACGAUCCCUAGCUGGUCUGAGAGGAUGACCAACCCCACGGGAACUGAGACACGGUCCAGACUCCGACAUGACGCAUCGUUGUAUAAUAUUGCACAAUGGGCGCAAGCCUGAGCCAGCCAUGCCGCGUGUAUGAAGAAGUCCUUAGGGUUUUAAAGUACUUUCAGCGGGGAGGCGUUACCCGCAGAAGAAGCACCGGCUAACUCCGUGCCAGCAGCCGCGGUAAUAC